AACGAACGCUGGCGGCGCGUUUUAAGCAUGCAAGUCGAACGGUAGGAGUACCUUCGGGUACUUUGAGAGUGGCGGACGGGUGAGUAACACGUAGGUGAUCUACCCUUGGAUGGGGGAUAGUCCAUGGAAACAUGGGGUAAUACCGCAUAAGGCCUAUAUUCUGCGGGGUAUAGGUGAAAGGCGCAAUUGUGCUGUCUGAGGAUGAGCCUGCGGUCCAUUAGUUAGUUGGCGGGGUAAAGGCCCACCAAGGCGAUGAUGGAUAGCCGGCCUGAGAGGGUGUACGGUCACACUGGGACUGAGACACGGCCCAGACUCCUACGGGAGGCAGCAGCUAAGAAUCUUCCGCAAUGGGGGAAACCCUGACGGAGCGACGCCGCGUGGGCGAUGAAUGCCGAGAGGUUGUAAAGUCCUUUUCUUGCUGAAGAAUAAGGUGAGGAGUGGAAAGCCUUACUGAUGACGUUAGGCAAGGAAUAAGCCCCGGCCAAUUACGUGCCAGCAGCCGCGGUAACACGUAUGGGGCUAGCGUUGUUCGGAAUUAUUGGGCGUAAAGGGCGUGUAGGCGGUUUCAUAAGCCUGGUGUUAAAGGCGCUGGCUCAACCAGUGUUGUGCGCUGGGAACUGUGGGACUUGAGUUCAGGAGGGGAAGCUGGAAUUCCUGGUGUAGGGGUGAAAUCUGUAGAUAUCAGGAAGAACACCGGUGGCGAAGGCGAGCUUCUAGCCAUGGACUGACGCUGAGGCGCGAAAGCGUGGGGAGCGAACAGGAUUAGAUACCCUGGUAGUCCACGCUGUAAACGAUGUGCACUAGGCGUUGGGUGUGUUGAGCAGUCAGUGCCGUAGCGAACGCGUUAAGUGCACCGCCUGGGGAGUAUGCCCGCAAGGGUGAAACUCAAAGGAAUUGACGGGGGCCC
rnacentral:rRNA from 1 species